rnacentral:tRNA from 1 species
GCCCUCAUCAUCUAGCCCGGUUAGGAUACAGGCCUUUCAAGCCUGCGGCGGGGGUUCAAAUCCCCCUGAGGGCACCA